ensembl:lncRNA
GAGAAACACGAGGGUGUAGAGAAGAGCAGAGUCGUACAGAUAGUGAGAGACAAACCAUAUAGCCUGCCGUUUAAUGUGUAUUUUAUAUACAUAGGACUGUGAACUGUUUUCCUUAUUACGCUACGAGUGUGAGUCGUCACCGUUUACUGAUGACAAAGUGUGGUUUCGUCGGACUGAAGCAACUAGCCAGCUUAGCUAAAACGCCGCAAUCGCCGGAGAUACGACGGUUGCAUUCUUCGCCCGCACGGACGGACCGGAGCGGAGACUGGUUGGGAGAGGUUUCGGAGGUCGACGCGGAUGUGUUGCUAUGGGUGGACUGCUGUUCAUCGCUUCUGUGCGGAGUGACACGGGUCUGGAAAGAGGACGCGGUAGGAACUGUUCUCAUUCUCCACGCAGCCUUGGAGGUGACGACUGAGAUAAGAUGGCUUCAGACAGCUGUUUGCUAGAACUUCACUGCACAACACGCAUUGAGGCUUCGGGCAAUCUGUAUCGCCGAUCCAAGUGAAGCCCAGACCCAGAUAAUUGUCAUCAUAUUUCCUUCUUUUUUUCCCCGUCUGGUGUUCACCCUCAUCACCUCUUUUUCUUGCCAUCUCCUUCCCUCCUCUUCGGUUUCCUCCCACGCAACUUCUGACUCCCGCUCAUUUUCUUUCUCUAUUUUCUCCGUCCCUGUUGCCUCCAAAUCCUCACUAUCUCUUGGUUCCUCUCCUCUUUCGUGACUAACAACUUUAUCAUUAGACGUCCCACUUGACAGUUUCCCUGAUUUCAGCCAGUUAAGCAUAUUUGUUAUAUGUAUAUGGAAUGAAUGAAACGAGUCCGCACGAAUAUAAUAGCGGCUGCAGUGCAUAAAAGAAAAGCAGUGCGUAGAAGACAGCAGCUGUCUUCUUCUAUGUUUCUAAAAAUAAAACAAAUAAAUUAUAUUUUUUAUUUAAAAU